ensembl:snRNA U6 U6 spliceosomal RNA
GUGAUUACUUUGGCAGCGCAGACAGUAAAAUUGGAAUGAUACAAAGAUCAGCAUGGCCCCCGUGCAAGGGUGACAUGCAAAUUCUGAAGCAUUCCAUAUUUUG